AGUAUUACGCCGGAUGAACGGAAAUCAUUGAUGUUGAUUAAUAUGGGAUUAAAAUAUAUCUCUAAUACUA
rnacentral:tRNA from 1 species